ensembl:lncRNA
UUCAAUGCCAAUUUUGUGUAAUGGCGAAGUUUCCCACUUCCCGUGAAUGCCUCUUUUUUUACGUCUCUGGCUGACUCCUGAAUCUCCGCCCACUCUCUGCUCGAUCCCUGCUGAGUGAAAGAGAUCUUUGGUUUUGCCUUUGCUGACUGCUGAUCUGAUCGUCUCAAGUCUGGUGACCUGCUGCAGAAAACCCUCUCCCUCUAUCGUUGACAAGCAAUUAACAAGCAAUUUCAGUCUGUCCUAUCACUCUCCCUCUCCCUGCUCCAUCUUUUUUGACAAGCCAUUCUAUCUUCUGUCAUUUCUCCGCCAUGAGCUCUAUCUAAUUUUGACAAGCUUAAACCUGUGUUGACAAGAAAUCUAAGUUUGACAAGAAACCAAGUUUGACAAGAAACCAAGUUUUUGGAAAUUGAAGUUACCACAACUUCGUCGAUCUGUUUUCAGAAAUCUGAGAGAUCUCCGCUCUCACUGCUCCUUCUUUCCUGUUGUUAAACUCUCUCAUAUCCACUCAUUUUACUGGAAAUUACAAGUAGAACGUUGAAUAUACAGUAGUAGAAUUACAGUACAGUAGAACUCACAGUAGAAAGUAGCCCUACAUUUGUCAUUUUAAUUUUGCAUUACACUUUGGAAUAAACAUUGAUUGGCUGUUUGGCUUACAGGUGCAAUUACUUUGAUAAAUUAUAUAAAAUAUACACCUCUUAAAGGUUUAUUUGUAAUAAGACAAUCUGGUUAUUUUGUAAUAUAUACAUGCAGACUGCUGUAUUAAAUUAGAUUCAAAUACAUUUUUCAAGUUUGUUUCAUUGACUAUAACAUUUGACUACAAGUUUAUACUAUUAUUAUUUAAGGACAAACCCAUUUUUGUCACUCAGUGUAAGUAUUCAGUUACAGUUGUCAUCUAUAGGCUGCUCUGAGAACCCAGACUUCCUGUUUCCUGACUGCUGCAGAACAUCCAGCUGAAGAAUCCUCAUCGCCUGUCAUCUGAUCACCACACCAUCACAGCUCCUUAUAUUUGCUUAAAAUUUUAGAUAUCUGAAAGAUUUACACAAAGUCUACUUAAAAGCUAAGAGUUUUAUUAUAGCCUGUUGAUUGAUUGUUGAGAUUUAUUCUGCAUAUUACAGAAGUAUAGACCUAUUUGUUAUCCAGUCUAGUUAAAAAAAAUAUAAGAAGUAAUAAUAUACAGUUUUUGAAAAAGCUACAAUAAAACAGACCAAAGUGUUUUCAAAGAACUUUAAAUAACCUUUAUAUUGAGUUUGUAUUUAAGUCAGCCUUUUACAUCAAUUCUGAUAAAUAUCUGAUGUAAUAGAAACUUGAGGAGUCAUUAGUUUUUCAGUGUUUACAGGUUGAGUUUUGUUUACAUUUGUGUAUAAAUACAUAUAAGGUCCAGUUUGUACUUCAAUAAAAUGCCAAGAAAAGGUCAAAGGUCGCAGUCCCAGAAGCUUAGAUGGCAAAAGCAGAAAGAACAGGUAAAUGUUUCUCAGACCGGUGAGCAGGUAAAGGUGUCUGUUACAAGUAUUCCCAGUCCAGAAGUGCAGAGCAGUGUUCAGACAGCCACAGUGUCUUAUGCAGAUGUGGUAAAGAGAGGUGUUCGCUCAGCAUCUGUGCCAAAUGCUAAAGUACAGCAGGUAAUCCAGACUGAACCCCAGGUAACUGUGCAAACGCAGCAUGAUGGAGAAGCUCCAGGACCAUCUCAUGUACAGGUUACAAACAAUGAAAGUCGUCCACGAGUGAGUAGCAUCUGUGCGUCCCGAAGCCAGGCUUCUCCUAGGUAUGGAAAGUACCGGAAUCAGCAAUGCAUGGCUAACAGUUUGGUUUUCCUGUCAUUCUUACAUGAGGAUGAAUUUAUUACCAGAGCAGAUCUUAACCGUGUGUUGGACAAAGGCCAUGCAGUGUAUUCAGAUGCCAGAAAGAGGUUUGUGAACAGCGUGUUUCUAGCCUGCGAUGAGCUUCCCACAGUGGUCACCAGCCGCAGACACGAGUAUCAAGUGGACAUGUCUCAGUUUGCUCGUUAUGGUACAUUUGAUGGUACAAAUCAUCUUCCGAGCCUUGAACAGGGACUACAGUGUUUGGCUUCAGAGUUUCGCUACGCUUUGCUAGUCAUGGGAGGAACGGUGAUCGCAGUUUGCAGGCUGACUUCAGGUGAAUACGCAUACUUUGACCCUCACCCACGUAGGUCUACAGGAAUGCCAUUGUCGCUAGCUGUAGGUGGUGGAACUGCAGUUAUGUUAAAAUUCACACGUCUUAAUGACAUGAUUGACAGGAUCAAACGCUUGUACCGAAUGUUUAGCAUCGCACCAACCUGCACUUAUGAGCUACAGCCUGUUGAGUUUCACAGUGAAAACGCUGCUGACCAAAGAGAUGCUAAUCAAACCACCGAAUACAGACAACCUGCUACAAGUGUUCCAGCAGCAGCUUUAAAUGAACCUGUCCAUGAAUUAAAUUCCCAAACAGCCACUGAGAAGACACAGAAAACUUUGAUGGAGACUUUAACCACUGAAGUCACGUCAUUCAGCAUGGAUUCAAAUAAGACAGCUGCUGCAUCUCUGCUACAUCCAACAUCUGCAUCUGCUGUUAGAGAAACUCAGGUAACAUCAGAUUCUGCUCCUCAGAAUAAUUCAAACACUGCCUCCUGUUCAAGUAGGACAUCAGAUGAAAUCUCACAUAAAUUUCUGAAAUGUAAUAAGCAGGAAAGGAGAAAAAUGAGGAGAAGAUUGUUAGCUCAACCAAAACUACCAAUAAGAAAGGAAAAUCAGAAAAAGAAAGAAAGGCAGAUGUACACUUUUGAUGGAAGCUUUAAGGCAAAGAAAAAAAACUCCAGUAGAAAGUUUAAUGAUCCUGAUCACAGACAGAAGAAGAAUGUGUACAAAAAAAAUCUGUAUAAACUAAAUGCUACAUAUAGAGAGAAACAGAGAGAACAUUUGAGAAAGAUCUAUAGAGAAAGGGAUGAUUUUAAGGAAAAACAGAAGGAGAAAAUGAGAAAUCUCUAUAGAAAAAGGGAUGAUUUUAAGGAAAAAUGGAAGGAGCAAAUGAGAAGGAUCUAUAGAGAAAGUGUUCAAAUUAGAGAGAGAAAAAGAGAACGUGUCAUAAGGACUUACAAAGACAAUCCUAGAUUCAGAGAACAACAGAAAGAACGUAUAAAAAGAUCAUACAGACAAUCUCCUGUAUUCAGAGAACAGCAGAAAGAGCGUAUAAGAAAAAUUUACAGAACUUCUGCUGGAUUCAGAGAGAAACAUAAAGCUUUCAUGAGGUCAUAUGCAUAUAAUCUAUAUAAAAAAAAUGAAGAAUUUAAAAAUAAAAAACGAUCUUACAUCACUAAACGUUAUGGAGAAGAGAGACAAUUUCAGCUGCAACACAAGAACAAUAUGAGAGAACGAAUGAGAGUAAAAUAUUGGAACGGUUUUUCUUUUAGACAGAUGCAUAAUAUCAGAUGUGCAAUGAAAAUAAAAAGAAAAUAUUGUCAGAUGCAUCGACCAGCUGAAAGUUUACAGUAUCAUCCAGAUAACACUUUAAUGAAUGAGGCCAUAUCUCGUUUCAGAUCAAACAUUAAGUCAGCACCAUCUUAUGUUUGUACUGUUUGUCUAAAAGCUUCUUUUCCUAAUCAGGUGAAAAUCUGCAAAAGAGAAAAUUACUCAAAACACCAAACUGUAGCUCAGCAGUGUCUAACUGGUAAAUUUGUUCAUGUGUGUGAUGAAGCAUGUAAUGAUCACUGCAGCUUUCCUGUUGAGAGAAAAAAGGAGUAUAUCUGUCACACGUGUCACAGUUCCCUCAAAAGUGGACGCAUGCCAAGGCUUGCUGCUGUCAACGGUUUAGAACUGCAGGAUAUUCCAGCUGAACUGUGUGAUCUCAACAUUCUGGAGAGACAUCUGAUUGCCAAAUGCAUACCAUUUGCAAAGAUUAUUCCACUUCCAAAGGGCAGACAAAGACUCAUACGUGGUAAUGUGGUGUGUGUACCAUCUGAAGUCCAACAAACAGUUGACUGUUUACCUCGGCUCAGAAACCAAUCACAGAUAAUGAGGAUCAAGUUGAAAAGACGACUGUGCUACAAAGGCCAUCAGCUGUUCCAGACUGUCACCUGGUCUAAACUGAUCCAAGCCCUGCGUAAACUCAAACAGAUUCAUCCACAGUACACAGAUAUUGUUAUCAGAGAUGAUGCAUUGCUUUGUGAUCCCACGUUACCUGAUGAUGACAGCAGUGAUGAAGCCAGCAUGGCAAGUGAUGAUUAUAAUGAAGCAGAUUUA